CACACUCUACUCACUCACUCUGUCACUCAAGUCAGUCUCAUCUACCCAUCCGCCGAUCCUGUGCACCCCUCACUAUCUCACCGCCGGCGAUCCCCAAUUCCCCACCCGCCAGGCACAUGGCUCCCUCUCUCGACGGACGCGUCAGGCCACCCCUCCUCUUCAUCCCCACUCCCGUCCCGAUGCGAGGCCAAUCUUCGCCAGGCCUCCUCGUCGAACCCGAUAUCACCUACUCAGGCUGGGCAUGCUAGGCGCCGGGGGAGGAGGAGACCCGGGCCACGUCUACACUGGAUCGACGGCCGCGAUAACUGCUCGUUGGAGAGCUCCGGCCUCCUCCUCCCACGGUACAAGCCGAUGAGCCUUAACAACCGCAGCGAGGACGCUCUGCUCCUGCAGGCUGGCCGUGUCGCGAGCCUUCUGGGCAUCAUAUUUUGCAUCUUAAUCCGAUUGGCCUUGCUGGGUUCUCGUCCUUGCCUGCGCCAUGGACCACGGUGGGGAGGAAGAAGAGAAAGACCAAGUCCAAGAGGGAGAGGCCCGGCGCCUCCUCCCGCUGAGAGGAGGGCUCCAGGGGUAGGGACAGGUUCCAGUGGCGGGGCUACCAUGAUAUGAUUUGCUCCUUGUAAGGGAACUAUCUGCUCCUAUCUAUCUCUUCUAUAAAGUCGUUGUUGGUCCAUGACAUUGAGUCGGCGAUGAUGUUCUACAGAUACAGAUACCAGAUCAAGUUUUAAGCCUGGAAACACAUCAAAUUAUAAAGGCAUUAUUGCCACAGGAUCCGGAGGAAUUUGACUGAGAAAACAAAGUUAGCAAAUGCCCUCUAUCUCCCUCUCUGGUGUCCAGAUCUCACAAGGUACGGUGUUGGGGCAAGUCGUGAAGGAGAAGGGGGCAGACCUAGAGCUAUGGGUGGCAUACAGGCAUAGCAUCCGUGCCCGUGCGGCCUUGCCGUCCGCACUCAGAGCAACGAACAUGAUAAGUUUUGUUCCUCGUGGAUGCCACGGAUCCUACAGUUUUGUUCCUCCUGCUAUCUAGAGUUGUUCCACGGAUCCUACAGUUUUGUUCCUCGUGGAUGCCAGAGUUGUUCUAUGAACCCUACGGUUAUUUUCCCUGUGGAUGCCAGAGUUGUUCCAUGGACCCUACAGUUUUGUUCCUCGUGGAUGUUUGUUCCUCAUGGAUGCCAGAGUUGUUCCACGGACCUUACGUUUUGUUCCCGUGGAUGCCAGAGUUGUUCCACUGAUCCUACGGUUUUGUUCCUCGUGGAUGCCAGAGUUGUUCCACCGACCUACGUUUUGUUCCCCGUGGAUGCCAGAGUUGUUCCACGGACCCUACGGUUUUGUUCCCGGUGGAUGCCAUAGCUAUUCCAUGGACUCUAUAGUUUUGUUCCUCGUGGAUGCCAGAUUUGUUCCUCUGAUGCAAUUCUUGUUCCCUGUGUUGACGAGAUUUGGUCCUCGAACACAAUAUCAUUGUUCCCCAAGUAGACGAGAUUUGUUCUGCGGACGCAAAAAAUUUGGUUCCCGAAUAGACGAGAUUUAU